rnacentral:lncRNA from 1 species
GAUGUCAACGAUCUUUAUAAAGUUGUUUGAAGCGUCUAUGAUAAACAGAGAGCAAAUUAGAAUCCAAGGAAGUUGACAUGUCAUCACUUAAUUUUUUUGCGCCUACGCAUAAAUCUGAGAAGCGUGAGUUUUCAUCAUUGUUUAUCUAGACAUAGGAUAGGUUGUGUGAAAAUAUUACUGAUGUUUAACGUUAAAAAUGGACCAAAAGAUUCAUGCUAAACAACAUUUGACAUGUUUGAACGGACGUAAAUAGAUUAUUUACUAGGUUUUUUUUAGCUUUUCGGCGUGAUUUUACACUCCCCCCACCACGUUUUGUGGGAGCAUAAUGAACGCUAAGUACUUGGUGUUAUUUGGACAUAAAUUAUGAACUUUGUCAAAAGAAACCACAUUUGUUCCGGACCUGGGAUGCCUUCCGGACCUGGGAUGCCUGCCUUCUGAUGGAGAUAAUCAAAGGAAUUAGCCACCACGCAAUGCUGCCAAUGUGAUAAGGAUGCAACCAGGGCCGAUGCGGAUGGAGGUUAUUCAUGUGCAGGACAUAAAAUCGUCUUUUGAAAUGUUCAUCCCAGACACCAUCCAGAAAAACAUGCUGGAAUGCACAUAUUUGGAGGAAAGGCUUGUUUUUGGAGCGAGAUGGAAGGAGAUGGACCAAACUCAUUUACAUGCAUACUUUGGGGUUCUUAUUCUUGCUGGUGUUUUCAGAUCUAAUGGGGAAUCCACAGAAUCCCUGUGGGUUGCAGAAACUGGCAGAUAACUUUUCAAUGAAACCUUCUCAAUUUUUUCCAUGAUUAUCAGCUUCGAUAACCGAGACACCAGACCAGCUCAGCGGCAGAGAGACAAAGUAGCUGCAAUCAGGUCAGUGUGGGAUAAGUGGGUGGACUGCCUUCCCCUGUUUAACAACCUUGUGUCCAACAUUACUGUUGAUGAGCACCUUAUGCCAUUUAGGGCAUCUGGCUUCCCCUUCAGGCACUACAUACCGUUUAAACCUGCAAAAUAUGGAAUCAAGAUCUGGGCUGCCUGUGAUGCUGCUUCAUCAUGUGCUUGGAACUUGCAAGUGUUUAUGGGGAAGCCAGAUGGAGAAGACCCCGAGAAGAACCAAGGGAUGCGGGUUGUCCUGGACGUGACACAGGGACUCCGUGUCCACAACAUCACAUGAGGUACCUUCUUUACUUCGCACAAGCUGAGACAGGAGCUCCUCAAGAGGAAGCUGACAAUGGUAGGAGCAGUAUGAAAGGGAACAGGCCUGUCAAUUUCUCUAAGUUUGUGUUCACAGCCGACAUGUCCCUAGUGUCCUACCUGCCAAAGAAAGACAAAAAUAUGGUACGCUGCAUAGGGAUAGGGGAAUCUGUGGCCAGGAACAUCAAAAAUCAGAAAUCAUAAUGGAUUACAAUGCCACAAAAGGAGGUGGUGGACAAUUUUGACAAUCUGGCUACAGCUGCAAAAGAAAAAUAACCCUACGCUGGCCUUGUGGUUUUCUUCAAAAUCUUGGACAUCUCGGCAAGCAACGCGUUUAUCAUCUGGAUGGUGUUGAACCCAGAUUGGAACAGAGGGAAGCUCCAGAGGAGACGGCUCUUUCUCAGGGAGCUGGGCAAGGCAUUGGUAAGACCUCAAAUCCAGAGGAGGCAACAUAUCCCAAGGACCCCACCUUCUGCAGCCAUCGUGAGGAGGAUUCAGGAGGAGGAGGCUGGUGCCCCAUCCGCCCGACACACAGAACCAACAACUACAAUACCAGAAGUAAGUGUGAGUGAUGUUGUUGCAUGUGUGUUUGUCGGAGUCUCCUACCUUGGCCUGUGUAAUUAUAUAUGUGAGUGAGUGAGUGAGAUAGUAAAGUUUCUGAAAAAGAAGAAGCACUGCAAUGUCUGUGGACCCAAGAGGGACAGGAAGACACAGUACACAUGCAUCAAAUGCAAGAAGUACAUUUGCAAUACACACACACAGUAAACUCUGUACCUCAUGUGGUGUGUAGACCGACCUUAAUUUGUGUUCAAUGGGGCCUAUUUAUCAUUUCCAUAAAAUACUGUAUGUAAAAUGUGUCCUUCCAAUUUGUUUAGUUCAAAGCAAUAUACAUCAGUAGUGAUGAAAACCUUGUUUAAUUUAUAUUUGUUCAAGAUAAACAUGAUGUAUUCCACCCAUGUCUUGAUUAUAAUAGAUUUCUGAAAACAAAAAUCUCAUUUUAUUUAAAAAAAACGAAUAGCGCCUUUAUUGAUAAAUGUGAUCUAGCAGAGGUAAAUGGCAAAUAUGAAACUUGUAUGCUGUCUAUAUUGCGUUUUAUUAUGUAAAUUGUUAUGGCUGUAUUGUUUUAAAAACCCAAUUAUGUUGUAGGUCCUUCAGAUCCGCAGACAUUGGGUGAAUAACAAAACCAUGAACAUGCUGCAUACUCCAAGAAAGGUUAAAAUCUCACAUUUCUGUUAAAAACAGAAGGCCAGCAUCCAGGAGUCGCCUCUUCACUGUUGACGUUGAGACUGGUGUUUUGCAGGUACCAUUUAAUGAAGCUGCCAGUUGAUGACCUGUUAGGCGUCUGUUUCUCAAACUACACACUCUAAUGUACUUGUCCUCUUGCUCAGUUGUGGAGCGGGGCUUCCCGCUCCUUUUUCUAUUCUGGUUAGAGACAGUUUGCACUGUUCUGUGAAAGGGAGUAGUACAAAGCAUUGUACGAGAUCUUCCGUUUCUUGGCAAUUUCUCGCAUGGAAUAGCCUUCAUUUCUCAGAACAAGAAUAGAGUAACAAGUUUCAGAAGAAAGUCCUUUGUUUCUGGCCAUUUUGAGCCUGUAAUCGAACCCACAAAUGCUGAUGCUCCAGAUACUCAACUAGUUUAAAGAAGGCCAGUUUUAUUGCUUCUUUAAUCAGAACAACAGUUUUCAGCUGUACUAACAUAAUUGCAAAAGGGUUUUCUAAUUAUCAAUUAGCCUUUUAAAAUGAUAAACUUGGAUUAGCUAACACAACGUGCCAUUGGAACACAGGAGUGAUGGUUGCUGAUAAUGGGCCUCUGUACGCCAAUGUAGAUAUUCCAAUAAAGAUCAGCCGUUUCCAGCUGCAAUAGUAAUUUACAACAUUAAUAAUGUCUACACUGUAUUUCUGAUUUCUGUAUUUCUGAUUUCACCCAAUGGAUAUGGGAGUUUAUCAAAAUUGAAUUUGUUUUCGAAUUCUUUGUGGGUCUGUGUAAUCUGAGGAAAAUAUGUGUCUCUAAUAUGGUCAUACAUUUGGCAGGAGGUUAGGAAGUGCAGUUCAGUUUCCACCUCAUUUUGUGGGCAGUGUGCACAUAGCCUGUCUUCUCUUGAGAGCUAGGUCUGCCUACAGCGGCCUCUCUCAAUAGCAAGGCUAUGCUCACUGAGUCUGUACAUAGUCAAAGCUUUCCUUAACUUUGUGUAAGUCACAGUGGUCAGGUAUUCUGCCACUGUGAACUCUCUGUUUAGGGCCAAAUAGCGUUCUAGUUCGCUCUGUUUUUUUGUUUAUUCUUUCCAAUGGGUCACGUAAUUCUAUUUUUGUCUUUCCAUGAUUUGGUUGAGUCUAAUUAUGUUGCUGUCAACGGACUCUGUGGGGUCUGUUUGUGUUUGUGAACAGAGCCACAGGACCAGCUUGCUUAAUGUACUCUUCUCCAGGUUCAUCUCUCUGUAGGUGAUGUCUUUGUUUUGUAAGGUUUGGGAAUCGCUUCCUUUUAGGUGGUUGUAGAAUUUAACGGUUCUUAUCUUGAUUUUGAUAAUUAGCAGGUGUUGGCCUAAGUCGGCUCUGCAUGCAUUAUUUGGUGUUAUACAUUGUACAUAGAGAUUUUUUAAUUAGAUGUUUGUCCCAUUUUGUGAAAUCUUAGUUGGUGAGCAGACCCCCAACCUGGGCAAGUAUCUCACACAGUAUCCAGAGGACUGAUUAUUGAAAGGUGUGAUAGAAUGAUAUACAGCAACUAUUUUUUUAAAUCAUUUUCAAACAUGUCUCCUGAGGAGAACUCUGAUGCUAUCUAUAAGGAUGUAUAAUCUCUAUGGUAACUGGUACCUACCUGUACAGGGUGAACUCUAAAUUGCUGUGUGCAAAUAGGUUUUAAUGUCUUUAGGAAUUGACUUGCAUUGGACUCAUCGCCCACACAAGCCUUUGAAUGCUGUGACAUCCUGUGGAGAUUGGGCCUGGGUGGUCAGUUUACUGUAACUUGGUAUCAUUUUAUUGGUCAAUGGUGGUUGGUUUUGGUUUUGGUUUGCUUCUUAUCAUGUGUUCUGCCCAUGGAUAAAGGUUAUAGAAUCAAUUCUUAUUUCCUUCUGGCUUGUUAACGCUUUGCCUUGUAACUCUAAGACCUUAAGGCCAAGAGUAAUCUCUUAUGCAGAGCAAUUUAUAGGAGCAAUUAGAGUAAAGGGCCUUAUUCAAGAGCACAUCGACAGAAUUUUCAUCUAGUAAGCUCUGGGAUUCAAACCAGCAACCUUUUGAGUACUGGCCCAAUGUUCUUAACCGCCAGGCUACCUGCCGCCUUUGAAUACUUGUCAAUGCUUGUUAACUUAAGCUUUCUGCCUUGUAUGUGAAUCGUUCAUAUUACAAUGAUUUUAAGUCUAUUUGCCUUUGAUAAACAAUUCACAGACAUUUCUUGGCCUUCCUACUACUGCAACUCAACUAUAGUCUCCUGCAUAUUGUUAAAUCAUCUUUAUGCUUAAUAUUAAUUGCAUAGUCUUUAUGAAGAUCUCAUUUGCGGUACAGUGCAUUUGGAAAGUAUUCAGACCACUUUACUUUUUCCACAUUUUGUUACAUUACAGCCUUAUUCUAAAAUUGAUUAAAUUGUAUUUUUUUCAUCAAUCUACACACAAUACCCCAUAAAGACAAAUCAAAAACAGGUUUUAGAAAUGUUUGCUAAUUUGGCAGAGAUUACAGGCUCAAGUCUUAUUGGGUAUGAUGCUUGGCACACCUGUAUUUGGGGAGUUUCUCCCAUUCUUCUCUGCAGAUCCGCCUCAAGCUCUGUCAGGUUGGAUGGAAAGCGUUGCUGAACAGCUAUUUUCAGGCCUCUCCAGAGAUGUUCGAUCGGGUUCAAUUCCUGGCUCUGGCUGGGCCACUCAAGGACGUUCAGAGUCUUGUCCCGAAGCCAUUCCUGCGUUAUUUUGGCUGUGUGCUUAGGGUCGUUGUACUGUUGGAAGGUGAACCUUUCUCCCCAGUCUGAGGUCCUGAGCACUCUGUAGCAGGUUUUCAUCAAGGAUCUCUCUGUACAUUGCUCUGUUCAUCUUUCCCUCAACCCGGACAACCCGGUCUCCUAGUCUCUGCUGCUGAAAAACAUCCCCACAGCAGGAUGUUCCCACCACUAUGCUUCAGCAUAGGGAUGGUGCCAGGUUUCCUCCAAACGUGACAUUUGGCAUUCAGGCCAAAGAGUUCAAUCUUGGUUUCAUCAGACUCACUAAGACCUAGCAGGCUGUCAUGUGCCUUUUACUGUAGAUUGGCUUCUGUCUGGCCACUCUAGCUUAAAGGCCUGAUUGGUGGAGUGCUGCAGAGAUGGUUGUCCUUUUGGAAGGUUCUCCCAUCUCCAUGGAGGAACUCUAGAGUUUUGUCAGAGUGAUCAUCGGGUUCUUGGUCACCUCCCUGACCAAGGCCCUUCCUCCCCGAUUGCUUAGUUUGGCCGGGCAGCCAGCUCUAGGAAGAGUCUGGAUGGUUCCAAACUUCUUCCAUUUAAGAAUGAUGGAGGCCACUGUAUUCUUGGGGACCUUCAAUGCUGCAGAACUUUUUUAGUACCCUUCCCCAGAUCUGUGACUCUACACAAUCCUGUCUCUGACCCCUACGGACAAUUCCUUCGACCUCAUGGCUUGGUUUUUGUUCUGACACGCACUGUCGACUGUGGGACCUUAUGUAGACAGGUGUGUGCCUUUCCAAAUAAUUUCCAAUCAAUUGAAUUGACCACAGGUGGACUCCAAUCAAGUUGUAGAAACAUCUCAAGGAUGAUCAAUGGAAACAGGAUGCACCUGAGCUCAAUUUAGAGUCUCAUAUAAAGGGUCUAAAUACUUACGUAAAUAAGGUAUUUCUGUUUUUUAUUUGUUUUCACUUUGUCAUUAUGGGGGUUUGAUUUUAUUUAUUUAUUUUUUAUUUCACCUUUAUUUAACUGUCACGUCCUGACCAGCAGAGGGCGUAAUUGUGUUAGUCUUGGUCAGGAUGUGGCAGGUGGUUUGUGUUUGUUAAAUGUUGUGUUGGUGAUUGGGACUUCCAAUUGAAGGCAGGUGUGUUGAGUUGCCUUUGAUUGGAAGUCCUAUAUAGGUGUGUGUGUUUUUCUUUGGGGUUGUGGGUGGUUGUCCUUGCACUGCAUUGUAUGUGCCUGCAAGACUGUUGCUGUUGUAAGUACUGUUUGUUGUUUUCAAGUGGAUGCGUUACGUGUUUUAUUUAAUAAACAUGAGUGUCCACAAUCCCACUGCGCCUUGGUCCUCUUCUCUCCAUGACAACUUCUGUGACAUUAACCAGGUAGGCAAGUUGAGAACAAGUUCUCAUUUACAAUUGUGACCUGGCCAAGAUAAAGCAAGCAGUUUGACACAUACAACAACACAGAGUUACACAUGGAGUAAAACAAACAUACAGUCAAUAAUAUAGUAGAAAAAUAAGUCUAUAUACAAAGUGAGCAAAUGAGGUGAGAUAAGGGAGAAAAAGGCAAAAAAGGCCAUGGUGGCAGAGUAAAUACAAUAUAGCAAGUAAAACACUGGAAUGGUAGAUUUGCAGUGGAAGAAAGUGAAAAGUAGAAAUAGAAAUAAUGGGGUGCAGAUGGAUGGGCUAUGUUCAGGUGCAGUAAUCUGUGAGCUGCUCUGACAGCUGGUGCUUAAAGCUAGUGUGGGAGAUAAGUGUUUCCAGUUUUAGAGAUUUUUGUAGUUCGUUCCAGUCAUUGGCAGCAGAGAACUGGAAGGAGAGGCGGCCGAAGGAGGAAUUGGCUUUGGGGGUGACCAGAAAGAUAUAACUGCUGGAACGUGUGCUACAGGUGGGUGCUGCUAUGGUGACCAGCGAGCUGAGAUAAGUGGGAACUUUACCUAGCAGGGUCUUGUAGAUGACCUGGAGCCAGUGGGUUUGGCGACGAGUAUGACGCGGGGGCCAGCCAAUGAGAGUGUACAGGUCGCAGUGGUGGGUAGUAUAUGGGGCUUUGGUGACAAAACGGAUGGCACUGUGAUAGACUGCAUCCAAUUUAUUGAGUAGGGUAUUGGAGGCUAUUUUGUAAAUGACGUCGCCGAAGUCGAGGAUCGGUAGGAUGGUCAGUUUUACGAGGGUAUGUUUGGCAGCAUGAGUGAAAGAUGCUUUGUUGCGUAAUAGGAAGCCAAUUCUAGAUUUAACAUUGGAUUGGAGAUAUUUGAUGUGAGUCUGGAAGGAGAGUUUACAGUCUAACCAGACACCUAGGUAUUUGUAGUUGUCCACAUAUUCUAAGUCAGAACCGUCCAGAGUAGUGACGCUGGAUGGGCGGGCAGGUGCAGGAAGCGAUUGGUUGAAGAGCAUGCAUUUAGUUUUACUUGUAUUUAAGAGCAGUUGGAGGCCACGGAAGGAUGAUGAUGAUGAACAAAAUGUAUUUAAUACAUUUUAGAAUAGGGCUGUAAUGUAACAAAUUGUGGAAAAAGGGAAGCAGUCUGAAUACUUUACAAAUGCACUGUAUACAAUAUAGCCUAUAUGAUAAUUAAUACUUCACUACACAUGCAGACACACGUCCGAACGCACACGUGCACACGUUUAAUAUUUAAUAUUCUGGUCCCCACAAGAACACACACACACACACACACACACACACACACACACACACACACACACACACACACACACACACACACACACACACACACACUCUCCAGGGCCUCUGUCCAGACUUGUACCACCUGUGGCCUUGCCUCAGGGAACCCCUUGUGUUCUUCCAAUUGAUCUAGGAGUCUUCUGACCUUGAAAAGCUCUGUGGACUGCUCUCUGUAUAAGAAAGACCGGCAGCUAGUUCAAGGAAGAAGUGUUUCUCUACAACUCUCCAGUGCACUAGCCUCCUUGACUUGAAUGCUAAGAGAUUAUUGGAAUGCAGAGCUGACUUUUAUUCAUCUCUGGUUAACCCUCUGAACAGACUCUGUGAGCUGGUUAACCCUCUGACCAGACUCUGUGAGCUGGUUAACCCUCUGACCAGAUUCUGUGAGCUGGUUAACCCUCUGACCAGACUCUGUGAGCUGGUUAACCCUCUGACCAGACUCUGUGAGCUGAUUAACCCCCUGAACAGACUGUGUGAGUUGUGGAUUGAUCCCCAUACAGCUCAGUUUUAGGGUGGUGUUAUUACAGUAGGAAGGCAUGGAGAUGAAACACUAUGCAUAUCAGUGCUGUGUUUCAAUAGGAAGGCAUGGUGUUGAAAAACUAUGCAUAUCAGUGCUGUGUUUCAAUAGGAAGGCAUGGAGAUGAAACACUAUGCAUAUCAGUGCUGUGUUUCAAUAGGAAGGUAUGGAGAUGAAACACUAUGCAUAUCAGUGCUGUGUUUCAAUAGGAAGGCAUGGAGAUGAAACACUAUGCAUAUCAGUGCUGUGUUUCAAUAGGAAGGCAUGGUGAUCACACUCUCCCUCUCUCCCUCUCUGUCUCUUUCUCUCCUUCUCUCUCUCCCUUUCUUUUAUAGCAGAGCUAUGGGUGUAGGUGCCAGACAGACAGCUGUCAGGGCCAUGGGGGUAGGUGACAGACAGCUGUCAGGGCCAUGGGGGUAGGUGACAGACAGACAGCUGUCAGGGCCAUGGGGGUAGGUGACAGACAGACAGCUGUCAGAGCCAUGGGGGUAGGUGACAGACAGACAGCUGUCAGGGAUAUGGGGGUAGGUGCCAGACAGACAGCUGUCAGGGCCAUGGGGGUAGGUGCCAGACAGACAGCUGUCAGGGCCAUGGGGGUAGGUGCCAGACAGACAGCUGUCAGGACCAUGGGGGUAGGUGCCAGACAGACAGCUGUCAGGACCAUGGAGGUAGGUGCCAGACAGACAGCUGUCAGGACCAUGCACACACACACACACGCUUAUGUCUCAGUUUUCUCCAUCAUUACACGAAUGCCAUUGCAGUCUAAUUGACCAUACGCUCUUAAACAAACCAAAUGUUGUUUUGAACAGUUGACAAAUGUUGUUUUGAACAGUUUCAAAUUCACUUGUAUUUUUGUCUCUCUCUGUCUCUCUCUCUCUCUCUCUCUCUGUCUCUCUCUCUCUCUCUCUCUCUCUCUCUCUCUCUCUCGCUCUCUCUCUCUCUCUCUCUCUCUGUCUCUCUCUCUCUCUCUCUCUCUGUCUCUCUCUCUCUCUGUCUGUCUCUCUCUCUCUCUGUCUCUCUCUCUCUCUCUCUCUCUCUCUGUCUCUCUCUCUCUCUGUCUCUCUCUGUCUCUGUCUCUUUCUCUCUCUCUCUUUCUUUGUCAUUCCUUCCUCAUGUGAUGACAAAGGGAAGAGAGGAGUAGAGGAAGAGAAAAGGAACAACAGAGCUCCAAAGAACAGGCAGUAGGCAAUUUACCUUGACGUAAACUGUAACUCUCACUUCUUCUGGAGUGAAAAACAGACUUGGAGUCUUGGAGAAAGUUGAGAGAAAACAAACUUUGCGACAGAUGUCAGAGGAGGAGCUCAGAGAAAUUGGUGUGUGUGUGUGUGUGUUUGUGUGUGUGUGCACAUGCUUGGUACCCAAUAUUUAGCCCCAUUGUUGAGAAUAUCUCUACGUUUACAUCAUCUUGAUUCAGACAUUCAACUGAAUAUCCACAACUAGCUUGUUUCUAGGACCCAAAAAAUGAUGUAUAUCCUAUUCGACUACAUUUUCCUGUUUUAUAAUUUAAAUAAAUCUACAACAUGGAAAUAAUAUCAUGCAAUGCCACCCAGUACAUAACUAUUUAAGUAAUAAGUCCAUCUGUAACUUUCUCUCAAUGUGGAACUGAACUGUGCUUUUCUUAGUCAGAUUUGUUUGGUUUCUAUGCAUUUUUGAUGAUAAUAUUCCAUAAUGACAGCUGCUCAGUAGGGUGUUGUCAGGCUCAUUACAAAAGACGCUGCCUCACAAACGGCACCCUAUUACCUACAUAGUGCAUUAUGGGCCCAGGUCCAAAGAAGUGCACUAUCUAGGGAAUUGGGUGCUGUUUGGGACACAGACAGAACAUGGAACCAGGCAGUGCUAAUCACUAAUCCCUCUUGGCCUGUUCUAAUGGUUCUAAUGCUUCAUUAAAACACGGUCUGACUGACUGACUGACUCAGAGAGAGAGAAGAGAGAGAGAGAGAGAAGAGAGAGAGAAGGAAGAGAGAGAGAAGAGAGAGAGAGAGAGAAGAGAGAGAGAAGGAAGAGAGAGAGAAGGAAGAGAGAGAGAAGGAAGAGAGAGAGAAGGAAGAGAGAGAAGGAAGAGAGAGAAGGAAGAGAGAGAAGGAAGAGAGAGAAGGAAGAGAGAGAAGGAAGAGAGAGAAGGAAGAGAGAGAAGGAAGAGAGAGAGAAGGAAGAGAGAGAGAGAAGAGAGAGAGAAGGAAGAGAGAGAGAAGGAAGAGAGAGAGAAGGAAGAGAGAGAGAAGGAAGAGAGAGAAGGAAGAGAGAGAAGGAAGAGAGAGAAGGAAGAGAGAGAAGGAAGAGAGAGAAGGAAGAGAGAGAGAAGGAAGAGAGAGAGAAGGAAGAGAGAGAGAAGGAAGAGAGAGAGAAGGAAGAGAGAGAGAAGGAAGAGAGAGAAGGAAGAGAGAGAAAGGAUGGAGGGAGGAAGGGGGGGGAAACUGAGAAUCAUCAGCCAAAAUUACACUCACUCUGUAGGCUAGUCUAUGAUUACUGUACAUGUAGGCUAGUCUGUGAUUAUCGUAAAUGUAGGCUAGUCUGUGAUUAUCGUAAAUAUAGGCUAGUCUAUGAUUACCUGGGGGGGGUUCUAAACUGAAAUAUGGAAUUGUUUUGAGAUGGUCAUACUAUGGAUCAUUUAGCUAUUUGAUUUAGAACUUUAGGACCCUUUAGGUAUGAAAAAUAAGCACAGUAAAACAUGAAUAAUAACAAACAAGGGUUGGAAGUGUCUGUCCUAAAUCUAGGAGAUAUAAAAAUAACUCAAUAAAUGAUGAUAUGUUUUUAACACAUAUUUAACCCCUUUUUUUGGGUAGGCACAAAACUACCUUCAUACUUCCGUUCGUUUUUUAAAACUGGUACCGGUUACCUUCAGACGAGUCCCACGAGACACAGAGAACACCAUUGUGUCAGAGCGAGUCUCCCCUUUUCUUUGAGUGGUCAUUAUUGUUUUAAGUCAAACAGUUCGGACGCUACAGAUGUUUUCAUCAUGGUCUGACAAACAUUUCUCUAGCUCUGCCACCUUUCACCACAGAUGCAGAAGUGCAACACCGGUUGAUGCGACGCAUCCAAUGAAAAACAAAAGGUGAUAUCUCUAGCUAAAACUGAAGGAUUUCAUAGGGAAUGUUUUGUUAUGUUACUUAAAUUGACACACCUGUGCGUCAAUCGACUCUAGGGGGUUAGCUGAAGAGAGGUUGCUAACUGCACAAUUAGCAUUAUGUAUAGAAACUCCAUGGAAGAUACAACAUUAUUGCUACAAGGUCAUUAAACAUUGCAACAUAACUAACUUAAUCCAUCUGUUACAGCCUUAUAAGAUCACUCACAAAUCUAUUGCUGAAGAAACCAACUCCACAAGAACAUAAUGUAAUGCUACAGUAUAUAGUGAAUACUCUCACUCAAAGGUCUGUAUUUUGUGAAGAGGUUGCGAAGGUACUGAAUACUUAGCAUAUUUUGUAUAUAAACUUCAUAGUACACGAUAGCUGUGUGAAAAAACACAGCAACACAAGUACCUCCUAUCCAACUGAUUACAUCCCACCUAAUAAUGUACACUCACUGCUCACACAAAUCAAAUGUAAUUGUAUUAAUUUUUUUAUUUAAAUUGGCAAGUCAGUAAAGAACAAAUUCUUAUUUAUACAAAUGCAGCAUGACCCAUAACUACAGAAAUGUAAUAUUACACUACAGUAAUGUAGUGUAAUAUGGUGUGGUAAUAUAGUGUAAUAUGGUGUGGUAAUGUAGUGUAAUAUGAUGUGGUAAUAUAGUGUAAUAUGGUGUGGUAAUAUAGUGUAAUAUGAUGUGGUAAUGUAGUGUAAUAUGGUGUGGUAAUGUAGUGUAAUAUGGUGUGGUAAUGUAGUGUAAUAUGGUGUGGUAAUGUAGUGUAAUAUGAUGUGGUAAUGUAGUGUAAUAUGGUGUGGUAAUGUAGUGUAAUAUGGUGUGGUAAUAUAGUGUAAUAUGAUGUGGUAAUGUAGUGUAAUAUGGUGUGGUAACGUAGUGUAAUAUGGUGUGGUAAUAUAGUGUAAUAUGGUGUGGUAAUGUAGUGUAAUAUGAUGUGGUAAUGUAGUGUAAUAUGGGGUGGUAAUGUAGUGUAAUAUGGUGUGGUAAUAUAGUGUAAUAUGAUGUGGUAGUGUAAUAUGGCGUGGUAAUGUAGUGUAAUAUGGUGUGGUAAUAUAGUGUAAUAUGGUGUGGUAAUAUAGUGUAAUAUGGUGUGGUAAUAUAGUGUAAUAUGGUGUGGUAAUAUAGUGUAAUAUGGUGUGGUAAUGUUGUGUAAUAUGGUGUGGUAAUGUAGUGUAAUAUGGUGUGGUAAUGUAGUGUAAUAUGAUGUGGUAGUGUAAUGUAAUAUGGUGUGGUAAUACAGUGUAAUAUGAUGUGGUAAUGUAGUGUAAUAUGAUGUCGUAAUGUAGUGUAAUAUGGUGUGGUAAUGUAGUGUAAUAUGAUGUGGUAGUGUAAUGUAAUAUGAUGUGGUAGUGUAAUGUAAUAUGGUGUGGUAAUACAGUGUAAUAUGAUGUGGUAAUGUAGUGUAAUAUGGUGUGGUAAUAUAGUGUAAUAUGGUGUGGUAAUAUAGUGUAAUAUGGUGUGGUAAUGUAGUGUAAUAUGGUGUGGUAAUAUAGUGUAAUAUGGUGUGGUGAUGUAGUGUAAUAUGAUGUGGUAAUGUAGUGUAAUAUGGUGUGGUAACGUAGUGUAAUAUGGUGUGGUAAUAUAGUGUAAUAUGGUGUGGUAAUGUAGUGUAAUAUGGUGUGGUAAUGUAGUGUAAUAUGGUGUGGUAAUAUAGAGUAAUAUGGUGUGGUAAUGUAGUGUAAUAUGGUGUGGUAAUAUAGUGUAAUAUGGUGUGGUAGUGUAAUGUAAUAUGGUGUGAUAAUGUAGUGUAAUAUGAUGUGGUAAUAUAGUGUAAUAUGAUGUGGUAGUGUAAUGUAAAAUGGUGUGAUAAUGAAGUGUAAUAUGGUGUGGUAAUGUAGUGUAAUAUGAUGUGGUAGUGUAAUAUAAUAUGGUGUGGUAAUACAGUGUAAUAUGAUGUGGUAGUGUAAUGUAAUAUGGUGUGCUAAUAUAGUGUAAUAUGAUGUGGUAGUGUAAUGUAAUAUGGUGUGGUAAUGUAGUGUAAUAUGGUGUGCUAAUAUAGUGUAAUAUGAUGUGGUAGUGUAAUGUAAUAUGGUGUGGUAAUGUAGUGUAAUAUGGUGUGGUAAUAUAGUGUAAUAUGGUGUGGUAAUGUAGUGUACUAUGGUGUGGUAAUGUAGUGUAAUAUGGUGUGGUAAUAUAGUGUAAUAUGGUGUGGUAAUGUAGUGUAAUAUUAUGUGGUAGUGUAAUGUAAUAUGGUGUGAUAAUGUAGUGUAAUAUGGUGUGGUAAUAUAGUGUAAUAUGGUGUGGUAAUGUAGUGUAAUAUGGUGUGGUAAUGUAGUGUAAUAUGAUGUGGUAAUGUAGUGUAAUAUGGUGUGGUAAUAUAGUGUAAUAUGGUGUGGUAAUGUAGUGUAAUAUGGUGUGGUAAUAUAGUGUAAUAUGAUGUGGUAAUGUAGUGUAAUAUGGUGUGGUAAUGUAGUGUAAUAUGGUGUGGUAAUGUAGUGUAAUAUGGUGUGGUAAUGUAGUGUAAUAUGAUGUGGUAAUGUAGUGUAAUAUGGCGUGGUAAUGUAGUGUAAUAUGGUGUGGUAAUAUAGUGUAAUAUGAUGUGGUAGUGUAAUGUAAUAUGGUGUGGUAAUACAGUGUAAUAUGAUGUGGUAAUGUAGUGUAAUAUGAUGUGGUAAUGUAGUGUAAUAUGGUGUGGUAAUGUAGUGUAAUAUGAUGUGGUAGUGUAAUGUAAUAUGAUGUGGUAGUGUAAUGUAAUAUGGUGUGGUAAUACAGUGUAAUAUGAUGUGGUAAUGUAGUGUAAUAUGGUGUGGUAAUAUAGUGUAAUAUGGUGUGGUAAUAUAGUGUAAUAUGGUGUGGUAAUGUAGUGUAAUAUGGUGUGGUAAUAUAGUGUAAUAUGGUGUGGUGAUGUAGUGUAAUAUGAUGUGGUAGUGUAAUGUAAUAUGGUGUGAUAAUGUAGUGUAAUAUGGUGCGGUAAUAUAGUGUAAUAUGGUGUGGUAAUGUAGUGUAAUAUGUAGUGUAAUAUGAUGUGGUAAUGUAGUGUAAUAUGAUGUGGUAAUAUAGUGUAAUAUGGUGAGGUAAUGUAGUGUAAUAUGAUGUGGUAAUAUGAUGUGGUAAUAUAGUGUAAUAUGGUGUGGUAAUGUAGUGUAAUAUGGUGUGGUAAUGUAGUGUAAUAUGGUGUGGUAAUGUAGUGUAAUAUGAUGUGGUAAUGUAGUGUAAUAUGGGGUGGUAAUGUAGUGUAAUAUGGUGUGGUAAUGUAGUGUAAUAUGGUGUGGUAAUGUAGUGUAAUAUGAUGUAGUAGUGUAAUGUAAUAUGGUGUGGUAAUACAGUGUAAUAUGAUGUGGUAAUGUAGUCUAAUAUGAUGUGGUGACUUGGUAUUGCCUUCUAUAGUACUUAACUCUGGCUCUGUGCACACUCCCACGAUCUGGCUUCCAUUACACCCGCAUGCACCCGCACACCCACGCACAUACAGUGGGUUUUACAGUGAUGUUAUUGGAUUGAAGCAUGACGACCCCAGACCGAGCCCCAGCGCCCACUUGCACUUAUCAGCUGGCUGGCAGAUAGGAAUUUGCAUACUGGCUGUCGUGUGUGUGUGUGUGUGUGUGUGUGUGUGUGUGUGUGUGUGUGUGUGUGUGUGUGUGUGUGUGUGUGUGUGUGUGUGUGUGUGUGUGUGUGUGUGUGGUGCGCACGUGUGUGUGUGUGUGUGUGGUGACUGUCAUAAGCAAUAAGAACAGCUGCAAAGCCUCACAAUGGAUCUCAAACCCAUUCUCCAUGUCUGUCCGCCUCCAUGAAGACACACCUAUUAGACUUUGUAAACAGCCACGUGAUCGUUGAGUGUUAAACUCCAGAAGACCGUACUAGCUACAGUAGUUGGGGACAGGGAGAGAAUAGUGCCAUUGUAAUAAAACAACUAUGAAGCCAUGUUUGCAUGAGUCAAUGCAGGAGAUGAGCUUUCUAGAGGAGAACAUGAGGUGAGCGUUCUAGAGGAGAACAUGAGGUGAGCGUUCUAGAGUAGAACAUGAGGUGAGCGUUCUAGAGUAGAACAUGAGGUGAGCGUUCUAGAGUAGAACAUGAGGUGAGCGUUCUAGAGGAGAACAUGAGGUGAGCGCUCUAGAGGAGAGCAGGAGCUGGGAGUUCUAGAGGAGAACAGGAGCUGGGAGUUCUAGAGGAGAACAGGAGCUGGGAGUUCUAGAGGAGAACAGGAGCUGGGAGUUCUAGAGGAGAACAGGAGGUGAGAGUUCUAGAGGAGAACAGGAGGUGGGAGUUCUAGAGGAGAACAUGAGGUGGGAGUUCUAGAGGAGAACAUGAGGUGGGAGUUCUAGAGGAGAGCAGGAGGUGAGAGUUCUAGAGGAGAGCAGGAGGUGAGAGUUCUAGAGGAGAACAGGAGCUGGGAGUUCUAGAGGAGAACAGGAGGUGAGAGUUCUAGAGGAGAACAUGAGGUGAGAGUUCUAGAGGAGAGCAGGAGGUGAGAAUUCUAGAGAAGAGCAGGAGGUGAGAGUUCUAGAGGAGACAAGACAAUAAAGAGAGAGAUGAGGGGAUGGUAAAGAAAAUAUACCACUUUGGAAUAAGACAGUGAAAUAUAUUCAAAGGGGUAAUGAAUCAGUAGUUCUAAAAAGAUUCACAGGCAGCUGAUGUAAUUGCAUCAAGCAAAUUAUUUCAGACCAUAUUCAGUGCACUGUAAAUGCGCUUCAGGAAUCUCACCCUGUAAUUUUAUAUAGAAAAGUUGCAUUCUAUACUGCACUUUAAAGAGUUUAGAAUUACAGUACUUUAAUCUAACAAACAGAACAAGCUGUCUUUUUCUCACUCUAGUUAUUCUCUACAGGGGCGCCGGUCUAACAAGCAGUCAGAAGCCUGACAUUCCUACAAAGGAAAUAAUGAGUCUGAGUUUGACAUUAAUGUGUUCUAGAACGCAGCUCUGAUUAUCACCUGUUGUUCUGGUCCUAUUCUUCUGGUCUACAGUGUUCUGUUCUGUUAUGUUCUGUCAGGGAGGGAGCUGGUGGGUGGCAUGGAUAUAAUCACUUGGUUUCAACUUUCUUUCUUUCCUUUCUUUUUUAAAAUAUCUUUCUCUCUCUCCCUCCUCUCCAUCUCCCCCUCUCUCAUUCUCUCUCUCUCUCUCUCUCUCUCUCUCUCUCUCUCUCUCUCUCUCUCUCUCUCUCUCUCUCUCUCUCUCUCUCUCUCUCUCUCUCUCUCUCACUCCCUAUUUCAAUCCCUUGCUCCUUUAAUUUAAAUCUAUCUUUCUUGUUCUCUGAUUAUGGCCCUUUCACUAAACGCCCCCGGUAUGGCCCGGCUCACCAGGCUCCAGCCCCAACGGGGAAAUAACGAUGUUUUAACAAACGGAUAAGGCUCAGAUCGCCCUUGGACGCUUCCGGCCAUUUAAUAUCUCACAGAGUACAAAGAGCAGGAGACAAAAGGUGAGAGUGAGAGUGAAAGAGAGAGAGCGAGAGAGAGAGAGAGACAGAAAGGGAGGGAGGGAGAAGGAGAGAGAGAGACAGACAGAGAGGGAGGGAAGGAGGGAGGAGAGGGAGAGAGACACCAGGCUUUUUUCCCCAAAAAGUUGUUUGCAAUAUCAUUAAUUUCUCUAAAAGAGGGAGAGAGAGAGAGCAAUAGAGAGAUAGAAAAGAGAGAUAGAGAGAGAUCUCCAAAGGACAGACUCAUUCAUGUGCAUAUGACAUUAUUCCUCUAGAGCCCCAUCACUAAUCCUCUAGAGCCCCAUCACUAUUCCUCUAGGGCCCCAUCCCUAUUCAUCUAGGGCCCCAUCACUCUUUCUCUAGAGCCCCCAUCACUAUUCCUCUAGAGCCCCCAUCACUAAUCCUCUUGAGCCCCCAUCACUAUUCCUCUAGAGCCCCAUCACUAUUCAUCUAGGGCCCCAUCACUCUUUCUCUAGAGCCCCCAUCACUAUUCCUCUAGAGCCCCCAUCACUAUUCCUCUUGAGCCCCCAUCACUAUUCCUCUAGAGCCCCAUCACUAAUCCUCUAGAGCCCCAUCAUUAUUCCUCUAGUGCCCCCAUCACUAUUCCUCUAGAGCCCCCAUCACUAUUCCUCUAGAGCCCCAUCACUCUUUCUCUAGAGCCCCCAUUACUAAUCCUCUAGAGCCCCAUCACUAUUCCUCUAGAGCCCCCAUCACUAUUCCUCUAGAGCCCCAUCACUCUUUCUCUAGAGCCCCCAUUACUAAUCCUCUAGAGCCCCAUCACUAUUCCUCUAGAGCCCCCAUCACUAUUCCUCUAGAGCCCCAUCACUAAUAUUCUAGAGCCCCAUCACUAUUCCUCUAGAGCCCCAUCACUAUUCCUCUAGAGCCCCAUCACUAUUCUUCUAGUGCCCCAUCACUUUUCCUCUAGAGCCCAUCACCAUUUCUCUCAAUCAUUCUUCCACAUCCUCUUUUUGUCUCUCUCUUACUCCAGUGUAUCCCUUUCUCUUCCGAUCAUUGCUGAACCAUCACCUCUCUCUCUCUUUGUCUCUCUCUCUCUCUCCCUCCCUCUCACCACCUCCUUUUUAUUAUCCUCUCUAUCCCUAAGUCUCUCUCUCCCUACCUCUCACCCCCCUCUUUAUUAACCUCUCUAUCCCUUUAUUCUGUUAGUGUAAACACCUUAGGUGACUCUCUGUUCAUAUUUCAACUUAACCUUAAUGUAACAAGUACUUUUGGGUGUCAGGGAAAAUGUGUGGAGAAAAAAUAGCAUUACUUGCUUUAGGAAUGUAGUGAAGUAAAAGUAAAGUACAGAUAACCCCAAAAACGACUUUAGUAGCAAAAGUGUUUAUACGUAAGUUAAUUACACCACUGACCAUAGGCUACAGUAUGUAGAUUAAAGACAGAGAGGACUAGUUAAGCGUACUUCUGAGACCCUCAGGUUCUCUUGUCUCCCUACGGACCUAGCUCUCCCUUCCUCUCCUUCUCCCUCUCCAUCCAGUUCUCCUUCCUCUCUCCCUUCCUCUCCUUCUCCCUCUCCAUCCAGUUCUCCUUCCUCUCUCCCUUCCUCUCCUUCUCCCUCUCCAUCCAGUCCUCCCUUCCUCUCCUUCUCCCUCUCCAUCCAGUUCUCCUUCCUCUCUCCCUUCCUCUCCUUCUCCCUGUCCAUCCAGUCCUCCCUUCCUCUCCUUCUCCCUCUCCAUCCAGUCCUCCCUUCCUCUCCUUCUCCCUCUCCAUCCAGUUCUCCUUCCUCUCUCCCUUCCUCUCCUUCUCCCUCUCCAUCCAGUCCUCCCUUCCUCUCCUUCUCCCUCUCCAUCCAGUUCUCCUUCCUCUCUCCCUUCCUCUCCUUCUCCCUCUCCAUCCAGUCCUCCCUUCCUCUCCUUCUCCCUCUCCAUCCAGUUCUCCUUCCUCUCUCCCCCUCUCCUUCUCCCUCUCCAUCCAGUUCUCCCUUCCUCUCCUUCUCCCUCUCCAUCUAGUUCUCCCUUCCUCUCUCCCCCUCUCCCUCUCCUUCUCCCUCUCCAUCCAGUUCUCCUUCCUCUCUUUCUCCCUCUCCAUUUAGUUCUCCCUUCCUCUCUCCCCCUCUCCUUCUCCCUCUCCAUAUCGCUCUCCCUUCCUCUCCUUCUCCCUCUCCAUCUAGUUCUCCCUUCCUCUCCUUCUCCCUCUCCAUAUUGCUCUCCCUUCCUCUCCUUCUCCCUCUCCAUAUCGCUCUCCCUUCCUCUCUCCCCCUCUCCUUCUCCCUCUCCAUAUCGCUCUCCCUUCCUCUCUCCCCCUCUCCUUCUCCCUGUCCUCUCUACCUCUCUCUCUCCUAACCAACCAGCAAACCAAUAAAAUGACCAGAACAUUAGCUAAGAUUUACAUUAAGUUCUAGUAAGGGUUUUAUCCAACAUUUUGAUCUUAACAUCACAAAAACAUUAAAAUUAUAUAUUUGAUAUACUGUGUAUAUACUGUGUAUAUACACUAACUGGAAACCUAAUGAGAAAUUUAGGGGA